AAUGGAUUUGCAUAAGGCAGAAUAGUCUAGAAUUUAUGAGGAUUCAAGAUAGUUUAAGCUAAGAAUACAAAAAAGCUUUAUAAAUGAGGUUUAGAAAGUUAAGAGAUUCAAUUUUUGCACUUUUCUAUAAUCUUUUAUUCUGAAUCUGCAGCAGAUCAGCUGAGUGCUACUGAAAAUAGAAUAGUAAUCACAGCUCCUGCUCUGACCACCUUUUCUGAUUUGGAAUGGAUCAAUUCUGAUUCCAUUUUGAUUAAAAAGAACUGAGUCAAAGCCAGACAAAAUUACCUCGCACCUGAAUAACCAAUUUAUUUGUGUUCAAUGGUGACUUGAUCUGUGGCAAGAUAGCAAAUAGAAAAUGGUCUGCCUUCUCUCAGAUGUUGUCAGCUGAAAUCAGGGUGAUAGGGUUGAAGCAACAGGAUGAGAGAUCUCAAGCAUGCUGCUAAAUAUUGUAGUCUGACAAAACUAUAUGGCUUCCUUUAUCAAGACAGCUGUGUUUUUACAUAAAUAAUCUUAAUUUGGCCUGCUCAAGGAUUACGCCUUGUACUCCAGCACACUACCUUGAAAGGUCACCUUGACUUCCCCAAGGAGUUUACUUCAAGGCAUUCAGGAUGCCAGUCCAGAAAGCCUCACAGACUGAGGUAGAUAAGAGGGCAGUUCCCUUUGACCAGGAGUACCUGCAGGAGAAGCUUGGACAGAGCUCUGAGGAAGAAUGCAGAAGAACCACAGUCACUGAAAGUCCAGUAUUAUCUCAUUACCAUUAUUCCUACAAUAAUGCAAAAUAGCUGAAUUCCAAUUUUUCUUAGGUCGUAUGGUCCUUCAAGACAGAACUUAGCAUACGGCUGUGAGUGCAUUACUACUCUGAUUAGGAUUUGCUACUGUACUCUUAUUAGGAUGAAAGACUAUGCUGGACUGAGGCCACAAGUGAUCUGAUUCCAAUGACCACCAAACUAAAGGUCAACUUGAAGAGCAGGCAUCAAAUUUCUUUCCUUAUAGUCUACUUCAGACGUCUAUGAAAGUGUUGUUCAUGUUUGUUAACAUCUGUUGCACAGGAUUUUUUAAUCCACUUGAUAAAGCAGAUCAAAUGUUCCACUUUUUUCUCUUGCUUGACACAAAGGGAUUAAAUUCAG
rnacentral:lncRNA from 1 species